UGGCUCAGGACGAACGCUGGCGGCGUGCCUAACACAUGCAAGUCGAACGGACGAGGGGAGCUUGCUCCCCAAGUUAGUGGCGGACGGGUGAGUAACACGUGAGCAACCUGCCCUUCGGAGGGGGACAACAGCGGGAAACUGCUGCUAAUACCGCAUAAUGUAUUCUGGAGGCAUCUCCGGGAUACCAAAGAUUUUAUCGCCGAAGGAUGGGCUCGCGUCUGAUUAGAUAGUUGGUGGGGCAACGGCCCACCAAGUCUGCGAUCAGUAGCCGGACUGAGAGGUUGAACGGCCACAUUGGGACUGAGAUACGGCCCAGACUCCUACGGGAGGCAGCAGUGGGGAAUAUUGGGCAAUGGGGGGCAACCCUGACCCAGCAACGCCGCGUGGAGGAAGAAGGCUUUCGGGUUGUAAACUCCUUUGACGAGGGACGAUGAUGACGGUACCUCGAAAACAAGCCACGGCUAACUACGUGCCAGCCGCGGC
rnacentral:rRNA from 1 species